rnacentral:sRNA from 1 species
CCCUAGCCCUGAUGGAAGCGGCAUCCUUUCUAGCCGGGGUUCGGCUGGAAAGAUAGAGCGGACAGCAGGAAUAGCU